GAUGAACGCUGGCGGCGUGCCUAAUACAUGCAAGUCGAGCGAACAGAUGAGGAGCUUGCUCCUCUGACGUUAGCGGCGGACGGGUGAGUAACACGUGGAUAACCUACCUAUAAGACUGGGAUAACUUCGGGAAACCGGAGCUAAUACCGGAUAAUAUAUUGAACCGCAUGGUUCAAUAGUGAAAGACGGUUUUGCUGUCACUUAUAGAUGGAUCCGCGCCGCAUUAGCUAGUUGGUAAGGUAACGGCUUACCAAGGCAACGAUGCGUAGCCGACCUGAGAGGAUGAUCGGCCACACUGGAACUGAGAAACGGUCCAGACUCCUACGGGAGGCAGCAGUAGGGAAUCUUCCGCAAUGGGCGAAAGCCUGACGGAGCAACGCCGCGUGAGUGAUGAAGGUCUUCGGAUCGUAAAACUCUGUUAUUAGGGAAGAACAAAUGUGUAAGUAACUAUGCACGUCUUGACGGUACCUAAUCAGAAAGCCACGGCUAACUACGUG
rnacentral:rRNA from 1 species